CGGGGGGCAGCAGUGGGGAAUAUUGGGCAAUGGAGGAAACUCUGACCCAGCGACGCCGCGUGCGGGAUGAAGGCCUUCGGGUUGUAAACCGCUUUCAGCAGGGAAGAAGCGAAAGUGACGGUACCUACAGAAGAAGCACCGGCUAACUACGUGCCAGCAGCCGCGGUAAUACGUAGGGUGCAAGCGUUGUCCGGAAUUAUUGGGCGUAAAGAGCUCGUAGGUGGUUUGCCACGUCGGAUGUGAAAACCUGAGGCUUAACCUCAGGCCUGCAUUCGAUACGGGCAGACUAGAGUGUGGUAGGGGAGACUGGAAUUCCUGGUGUAGCGGUGAAAUGCGCAGAUAUCAGGAGGAACACCGAUGGCGAAGGCAGGUCUCUGGGCCAUAACUGACACUGAGGAGCGAAAGCGUGGGGAGCAAACAGGAUUAGAUACCCCCGU
rnacentral:rRNA from 1 species